CUGAGCCGAAGCCUGGGGGGCUGCCGCGUCAGACGCGGCUCCGCGAGGAAACCCAUUAUGCCCGACGACGGUAGAGCUGCCCAGUGCUGCUUGGUGGUUUUUUCUGUUCAUACCCAUUACCGAUGAAUUAAUAUCAAAGGAGGUGACCCUCUCCCCUCGCCCCCGCCUCCGCCGUCCCGAUGCCACAGAUAGCCUUGCCGUCCCAGAUCUCCGCGGUGGAGGAGGAAAGCCUAUACUUUGCACGUCCUCUCAGAACAGGAAAUGAGACUGUGAAGACUUUAUUACAACUUCGGGCAGCAGAUGAAGUUUCAGAGAAAAUAUCCUUAUAAACACAAAUCAGAGACCUCUGUCAGACUUGACCCAUGGUUUCUGAGUGCAAAUGAGGAUUCCCGAUUACGGGGAGAACUGCGAGGAAACUUCAAGAUGACAUCUUUAUUCUCACAUCUCCAAGAACAUGCAGAAAGAAGUUACUGCUCUUAUACUGAGGGAUAGUCGCAGCAACCCUCAUAGAGCCACAGACAGAGGACCACAGUAUCCCAUUAGAGAAUAAAGAUAUGCCAUUUAGUAUAUCCAUUUUAUAAUACACAGCCUUUUAAAUACAGUUUUCUGGAUUACAUGUAUAUAAAAGAUGGGUUAGCAAAGUGUUGUUAAAUACAUGCAUUUAAAGACUUCAAUUAAAAGAUAACAAUGCAUUUUUCUCAGCAUAUUAUU
rnacentral:lncRNA from 1 species